CAAAUCUUAGCGGUGGAUCACUCGGU
rnacentral:rRNA from 1 species